rnacentral:misc_RNA from 1 species
GGCAACGCGUUGACGGAGACGAGUAGCCAGGGACCACGCGAGCAGAGAGAGCCGCCGGCAUCUGGGAAGGCGGUCUCGCGCCCCGAGGCGAAGACCCUCCCGAGCGCGGGGAGGAACGGCCCCCUCUUAUGGCCCAAUGCCCCGCCGGCCGGCCCCCGUCACCGGGCCAGAACGAGGCCGCCACUUGGUGGCGGUGAAAGUGCGGUGGUACCGCGAGUUGCCCUUCUCGCCCGCACU